rnacentral:rRNA from 1 species
UGGGGAAUUUUGGACAAUGGGCGAAAGCCUGAUCCAGCAAUGCCGCGUGUGUGAAGAAGGCCUUCGGGUUGUAAAGCACUUUUGUCCGGAAAGAAAUCCUUGGCUCUAAUACAGUCGGGGGAUACGGUACCGGAAGAAUAAGCACCGGCUAACUACGUGCCAGCAGCCGCGGUAAUACGUAGGGUGCAAGCGUUAAUCGGAAUUACUGGGCGUAAAGCGUGCGCAGGCGGUUUGCUAAGACCGAUGUGAAAUCCCCGGGCUCAACCUGGGAACUGCAUUGGUGACUGGCAGGCUAGAGUAUGGCAGAGGGGGGUAGAAUUCCACGUGUAGCAGUGAAAUGCGUAGAGAUGUGGAGGAAUACCGAUGGCGAAGGCAGCCCCCUGGGCCAAUACUGACGCUCAUGCACGAAAGCGUGGGGAGCAAACGGGAUUAGAUACCCUGGUAGUCCACGCCCU